rnacentral:rRNA from 1 species
CCUUCCGGCGGGGGACAACAGUUCGAAAGGACUGCUAAUACCGCGUACGUCGGCGGGGACUCCGGUCCCUGUCGAGAAAGAUGGCCUCUCCUUGGAAGCUGUCCCCGGAAGAUGAAUCCGCGGCCCAUCAGGUAGUUGGUGAGGUAAUGGCUCACCAAGCCUAAGACGGGUAGCUGGUCUGUGAGGAUGAUCAGCCACACUGGGACUGCGACACGGCCCAGACUCCUACGGGAGGCAGCAGUGGGGAAUAUUGGGCAAUGGGCGAAAGCCUGACCCAGCCACGCCGCGUGAGUGAUGAAGGCCUUCGGGUCGUAAAGCUCUGUGGGGAGGGACGAACAAGCCGGCCAACUACCGGCCCUGACGGUACCUCCUUAGCAAGCACCGGCUAACCAUGUGCCAGCAGCCGCGGUAAUACAUGGGGUGCAAACGUUGCUCGGAAUUAUUGGGCGUAAAGCGCGCGUAGGCGGUUGCUUAAGUCAGAUGUGAAAGCCCCCGGCUUAACUGAGGAAGUGCAUCUGAGACUGAGCAGCUAGAGUAUGAAAGAGGGUCGCGGAAUUCCCGGUGUAGAGGUGAAAUUCGUAGAUAUCGGGAGGAACACCGGCGGCGAAGGCGGCGACCUGGUUCAAGACUGACGCUGAGGCGCGAAAGCGUGGGGAGCAAACAGGAUUAGAUACCCUGGUAGUCCACGCCGUAAACGAUGAGUGCUAGAUGUUUCUGGUAUUGACCCCGGAGGCGUCGUAGCUAA